GGGGACCUGCGGAGGGAUCAUUACACAACAAAAUAUGAAGGCCUGGCUUCGCGGCCGGCUGAAAUAUUUUUUUCACCCAUGUCUUUUGCGCACUUGUUGUUUCCUGGGCGGGUUCGCCCGCCACCAGGACCAAACCAUAAACCUUUUUUUUAUGCAGUUGCAAUCAGCGUCAGUAAAAACAAUGUAAUUAUUACAACUUUCAACAACGGAUCUCUUGGUUCUGGCAUCGAUGAAGAACGCAGCGAAAUGCGAUACGUAGUGUGAAUUGCAGAAUUCAGUGAAUCAUCGAAUCUUUGAACGCACAUUGCGCCCUUUGGUAUUCCAAAGGGCAUGCCUGUUCGAGCGUCAUUUGUACCUUCAAGCUUUGCUUGGUGUUGGGCGUUUUUUGUCUCCCUCUUUCUGGGAGACUCGCCUUAAAACGAUUGGCAGCCGGCCUACUGGUUUCGGAGCGCAGCACAUAUUUUGCGCUUUGUAUCAGGAGAAAAGGACGGUAAUCCAUCAAGACUCUACAUUUUUAACUUUUGACCUCGGAUCAGGUAGGGAUACCCGCUGAACUUAAGCAUAUCAAAAGG
rnacentral:rRNA from 1 species